CUAUGGCCAUAUCACAUUGAAACAACAGUUGCCAUAUGAUCAUUGAUGUUAAGCAAUGUUGAGCCUGGUUAGUACCAUGAUGGGUAACUGCUUGGGAAUACCAGGUGCUAUA